ACCGGAUUGGUGUAGGGGUUAACAUUCGGGAUUCUCAUGUUCUAUGCGAAUUUCCUGAGCCAGGAGUUCGAGUCUCCUAUCCGGUG